CAAAAUGCUGGGAUUACAGGCAUGAGCCACCGCGCCCGGCCACAGACUCCAUUUUAUAGGUGGCUGUCCAUAUCCAUGGGUUCUGUAUCCAUAGAUGCAGAAUUCUUGAAUACAGAGGGUUGACUGGGAGAUCUGACAUCUGCAGGUUUUGGUAUCCGUGGAAGGUUCUGCAACCAAUCUCUGGUGGAUGUGAGAGGUGAUUGUACUUAAGCUUCAAGAAAGGCCUCCUCUGCUAAAAAUGCUCUCUGAUUAGCCAUUCACUGCUUCCUGAACUAUGAAGACAUCUUCUAGGAAUACUCAGGAUCUUCUGCUAUGUGGCUUUAAUUUAUUUUAAGAUUAAUUCCUCAUUACCUUCUUACACAAAGCCACCAUUAGCAUAUCAAGCACAGCUGUACAAAUUUUUAAAAGGCCAAAAGAUGUAUCUGCCAAUUCUAGGAGGAUAUAAACCUGAAGGCACAAAUCUGGGCUGGAGCACAUGGUUUCCCUUGUGAGAAGAAAAAGUCUCCUUCCUCUGAAUGGACACACCUUGCACACCAGGGCACAAGGUUUGUCUAGAAGAGCACAGCUGAACAUCAUAAAGUGCAGAACCACACACCUGGCAUCCUUGUCCCUACACAAGAACCUGGUGGACAAAGUAAUACAUCCAGCAAUAGAAGUAAACCCUGCAAAUGAAAUGGUCUUUCAAAGAUGCCAAAGCAUUAUUGGUGCCCUUAUGGAGUUGACAGGAAGCCAAAGCUGAAGAGCAUAUUUUAAUCACUUGAUUUAAUUCGAUUACCACUGUAGCUAUUAUAAGAAAACGAUUUCCAAUUCUGUGAAGAAAGGCAUUGGUAGCUUGAUGGGGAUGGCAUUGAAUCUGUAAAUUACCUUGGGCAGUAUGGCCAUUUUCACGAUAUUGAUUCUUCCUACCCAUGAGCAUGGAAUGUUCUUCCAUUUGUUUGUAUCCUCUUUUAUUUCAUUGAGCAGUAUGGAACCAAAAAAGAGCUCGCAUUGCCAAGUCAAUCCUAAGCCAAAAGAACAAAGCUG
rnacentral:lncRNA from 10 species